AUGACUUAUAAAGAAAUUACAGUGCAAACCAGGAUACCAGAUGAUGUGCAUUUAAAGAAGUCAAGAAAUGCAAUGAAGCGAGUUGGUCUGAAGACAAAGAAUGUUCAGCUGGCCAAAACUCCCAGAUACCAUGGUGACUGUCUGGAUGAUAACAAUGAAAGCCCUGAUGACAGUUAUUUAAACUCAAGCCAGCCCAACCCAGUAUUCUUAGAUACUCUUCAGGGAAAUGUGGCAAUGCAUGAGGAUGAUCAUCCCAAAAGCUCUGCUUCUUCAGGGAAGGAACCAAAGGAAACAAAAUGCAAAGUCACCAUGGAGAAAUUGUUUGAUCUGAAUACUAAGAUACUUCAACAAAUUCAAAUGCUGGAACAGAGACAAGCUGUCAUCAUGAAUGACUUGGCCAAAGUUAAGUCUGUUCUCAUGAAGCGGGCAGAAGAAGAUGCCCAUGAGGAACUUUUUAAACAACAACAGUGCUCCAGCUUUGAAAUGUUUGAAGCCUUCUGUCAGAGGCUUGAAGAAGACAAAAAUUAUCGAGAGCUUUAUGUACACUAUCUCAUCCAUACUCAUGGCAGCUCCAAUAUAGCGUCAGACAAUGUUCUCUGUCUGUAUAACAGAACGGGGAAAGAUGGGAAGAAGGUGUUUCCACCUGUGCUCCUGACAUGUUUGAAAAAAUGUGUCAGGUCUUUUCACAAACAAAAUGAAAUAGAGGUGAAGAAGCUAAAAGUAACCACUAGAACAACACCAGACAAGGAAUGUAUUCGCCAAGUAGAAUUUUUUUGUCCAACGCCAACACCAGGCUGAAAAGGAAACCAAAUAAAGGAAAAAUCUGACUUUUUGUUUGAUUGUUUUGAUUGAUGGAAAUAAAGAAUGUGGGUGUAAAAGUUUGAGUUAACUGAAUCAUUUUAGAUAUCAGUGAACUAACAGAAUUAUUACAUAUGGUGAUCUCACAGUAUGAGCACACAGUGAUCACAGUAUGAGCACACAGUGACCACAGUAUGAGCACACAGUGAUCACAGUAUGAGCACACAGUGACCACAGUAUGAGCACACAGUGACCACAGUAUGAGCACACAGUGAUCACAGUAUGAGCACACAGUGACCACAGUAUGAGCACACAGUGAUCACAGUAUGAGCACACAGUGACCACAGUAUGAGCACACAGUGACCACAGUAUGAGCACACAGUGACCACAGUAUGAGCACACAGUGACCACAGUAUGAGCACACAGUGAUCACAGUAUGAGCACACAGUGACCACAGUAUGAGCACACAGUGACCAGAGUAUGAGCACACAGUGACCACAGUAUGAGCACACAGUGACCACAGUAUGAGCACACAGUGACCAGAGUAUGAGCACACAGUGACCACAGUAUGAGCACACAGUGACCACAGUAUGAGCACACAGUGACCAGAGUAUGAGCACACAGUGACCACAGUAUGAGCACACAGUGACCACAGUAUGAGCACACAGUGACCACAGUAUGAGCACACAGUGACCACAGUAUGAGCACACAGUGAUCAGAGUAUGAGCACACAGUGACCACAGUAUGAGCACACAGUGACCACAGUAUGAGCACACAGUGACCACAGUAUGAGCACACAGUGACCAGAGUAUGAGCACACAGUGACCAGAGUAUGAGCACACAGUGAUCACAGUAUGAGCACACAGUGACCACAGUAUGAGCACACAGUGACCACAGUAUGAGCACACAGUGACCAGAGUAUGAGCACACAGUGACCACAGUAUGAGCACACAGUGACCACAGUAUGAGCACACAGUGAUCAGAGUAUGAGCACACAGUGACCACAGUAUGAGCACACAGUGAUCACAGUAUGAGCACACAGUGACCAG
ensembl:lncRNA